CUCAACUGGUACAAAGCAAACUACUGAUCAGAAUCAUCUCUGAGGAUGUUACAUCUGCAUACAUGGUAUUAACCUUAAAAUGAUCAGAUUGUGCCGUGAACAAAUGGUGAUGCCACUUUGCUCUCUCCUUAUUAAUGAGAGGAUGUCCUGGUACUCCUGAAGCUCCCUUGGAUCUGAUUGUUCAGCGGGGCCACCAAUUAUGAGAACUAUUGCAGAUAUUUCUGAUAAAUUCUCUCUUUGGGCUUUCUUUAUACAUACUGGAUUACUGGAGUCGACUAACUUAGCAUGCUGUGAGGUCACUAUAUGUGCCCUUUUGUUUAAUCAGUCUCUGAAAAAAAAGACAAUUCAGUCCUACCAACUGUGAUAAAGAGAAGAAGGAAGGCAUCAAAGCAAAUGUGAAAUUCUUUCCAGUUGGCACACACAGUGAAUAUUGCUAAUAACUUCUUGAAUUUUCUCUCAUGCCGAUCAAUAUACCCCUUUAUUCAUUGCAGUCAGUAUUGUAACAUUAUUG
rnacentral:lncRNA from 1 species